rnacentral:rRNA from 1 species
UACGGAGGGUGCAAGCGUUGCCCGGAUUCACUGGGCGUAAAGCGGGUGUAGGCGGUUCUUUAAGUCAGAUGUGAAAUCCUGCGGCUCAACCGCGGAACUGCAUCUGAUACUGGGGAACUUGAGGACGGUAGAGGUCGGUGGAAUCCCCGGUGUACCGGUGAAAUGGGCAGAUAUCGGGGGGAACACCAGUGGCGAAGGCGGCCGACUGGGCCGAUCCUGACGCUGAGACCCGAAAGCCAGGGUAGCGAACCGG